CUAGGAAGGCUGCUGAGUGAAACUCCUGCCCCUUUACAACCACUUGUAACCUGGAGUAUGACAGAAAACAUUCUGCUGCAAAUCUGUGUGGAGUGGUUGCCACAGGGAGGGAGGUGGGGAGCUCUCAGAGGAAGCCUGAAACUAGGCAUCACCCAGAUGUCCUGAAUGAAUCCAAGCCAUGUGUUGUGGACUGAAGAUCACUGAUAAAAUGAAGGUCAACAAUUUAACAGCUUCUUGCAGAACAGAUUUUGAGGAACCUUUGAAACAUCUGCUGGCAAAAUCUGAUGAGAAGACAGUAGCGUGCUUGAAACAGAAAUUCCAAGAAUGAAACUGUAGCCAUUUCCAAGAGAUGAUAAGAAGAUGCAGCUCUCCGCAGGGAGGAACAAAGGCUGUCUGUCAUGGUAUAGUAGAAGAUAAGAAUGAAGAGGAGAGUUGCUCCUCCAGCAAGGCACACAAGGAGUGCUGCUAGAGAGAAGGAGCCAAAAUCAAGAACUGUGGAUUUGGAGGAAUGGACACUGAGAACACCCGUCCCACACUCCAGUGCUGUUUGAGAUAUGGUGAAGCUGUGCCAGUGACAACCACAAGAAAAGCUCUAUGCUCAGUUGGUUUCAGAGGCUGUCUACAUCCAGAGAGAGGACUCUGGGGUGCCACAGCUCUUGUUUGAAACUUAAAGCAAUGAUGUGGCAUUCAGUGCAGCUAACGAUGGGCAGCCCGACCGUGCCAACUGCUAUGUUAAAAGGUAAUGGAAGAAAGAAAACAAACACCUGCGGAAGCUGUUCCAUAUGUAGCAGAGGAAGAGCAAAGGGCAUAAAAGUAAUACGGUAAGCUGCCCCACAGGUCACCCGUUAAGUGCCAUAAAGAUGGGCAGUCUGGAUGUUUCCCAGCUCCCACAGCAGUAGCAUGGACCACGAGUUUGCACCAGGAAGUAUCCAGCUCCCUCCUUGUGCAGCUGGCUCCUGGCACAGCACCAAGCCCAGAGACUGGUGUGGGGUACCCGAAGCAGGCUGUGCUUUCCUGGCCAGGUCUUCUCCAUCCCCCGAUGCUGCUCCAUGCUCUGCAGAGCCUGCUCAGGACCUUUCACUGCUGACCGAAGCAGUAUCGGAGCCGUGAAAGAGAUCAGCUGGCUCUUCACGCUGUACAGCUGUUUCUUUAUCC